AACUCCUGUCAAGAGGCAAUAAGCAAGUGAAGGUACCUCUAGAGGAAGGUGCGACUAGUUCCGUGGCAGCAGGCGUGGUCACAUGGAAGCCCCGAUCGUAGUACGUACUCAUUGGGCGUGGAUGUUGCGUAGGCGUCGCGUANAGUCCGGUGUGCCAGGCAGGGGCUCAAGCGUCUGGACUGCGUUGGAUACUUCCGUGCUUGAGGACUGGAGGCGAGACUGGAAUUCACGGUGUAUCAGUGAAAUGCGUAGAUAUCGUGAGGCAGACCUGUUUCUGAACGCGAGUCUCUGGACAGAUCCUGACUCUGAGGCACGAAGGCUGGGCGAGCGUACAGGAUUAGAUACCAUUGGUAGUCCCAGCAGUAAACGAUCUGAGCUUGAUUUGGGGGAAUUCGACCCCUUCCGUGUCGAAGCUGACGCGAUAAGCUCACCGCCUGAGGAGUACGGCCGCAAGGCUAGAAUUCAAAGCAAUUGACGGGGACCCGCACAACCGGUGGAGUAUGUGGCUUAAUUAGAUGCAACGCGAAGGACCUUACCUGGCCUUGACAUGCAUUGUCUCGUCGGUGAAAGCCAGGCUAGUCCUGGAUACAGCGACGCUUUGCACAGGUACUGCAUGGCUGUCGUCAGCUCGUGUCGUGAGAUGUUGGCUUAAGUCACUGCAACGAGCGCGACCAUUGUGGUCAGUU
rnacentral:rRNA from 1 species